AAUAUAUGACGCCGUUGAAUUUUGUCCAACGUUUGACUAUUCGUCUUAUUUAAAAAAUUUAUGUAAUUAUUAUUUAUUUUAUUGUGACUUGAUUCAUCAUCAAAUGUUCUUUAAGCAUGACAUAAAUAUUUUCAUAUUUGCAUAAAAUUUUUUUAAUAAAACGAAUUGUCAAACGUUGGUCAAAGAGUCAACAGCGUCGUAAAUAUA
rnacentral:pre_miRNA from 1 species